ensembl:lncRNA
AUUAUUUGUUUGACUUACUUUCAGUUGUAAUAAAUUAUUUGGGUUAUUUUGGAAAGCGGACUCCUCCUGUUCUUUUGUCAUGGCCAUUGAGCCGGGUUAUGACAAAAUGGGGGCUCGUCCAGCUGUUUUGUUCCCGUUUUGGUUGCAAUGUGGACUCGGCGUGGAUCCUCGGCUGCAGUUUGUUUACGCAGGUAGCAGGAGAGUCAGUUAACAGGGAAACCGAACCAGUCUGUGAAGCCUGUUCCUCUGCAACCGAUACCAGCCGUAAGUGAACCUUUCGAACAUCUUAUAGUCGAUUGUGUUGGCCCUUUACCGUGUUCAAAAUCUGGCAGUAAGUAUCUUCUUACAGUGAUGUACCAAAGCAUGUUAUCCUGCUGCGUAUCUGCUGAGGUCCAUUACAGCUAAAUCUGUGGUAAAGGUGUGUGAUGGCCCGAUCUGCAACUUGGACCAUGCAGUGUUAGUAUCGUUUCUUUUCAUUUCAAACAAAUGGUCACCCACACAGUUUUGGUUAAAUGUUUAUUUAGCUUCUUUGAUUUACAUUGUGAUGGUGUUACCAAUUUGAGUGGACGCAUUUUGGUUACAUUUAGUCAUGAGUUCAUCAAAUUGGCUUAAAUUAUUAAUUCUUUGUACCUUUGUCUCUGUUGCUCCACAUGCUGCUGAGGUCCUGGCGAAAGGGAGAGGUGGAGUUUAAGAUGGCCUUUUAUGCUGGCAGUCAGGAACUGGAAGGUGCCAACUCCCAGUGCUGUGAAGGGGAGUGCUGAAGUGCAGAGGCCUCAAGAAAAGCAGCGUGUGUGCAGUUGUUUGAGUUUGGGGUGGUGGUGUUGUUUAAUAUGUAUAGGUAUUUGUAUUAUGUCUUUAUUAUGGCAGUUGGGUUUAUUUUGGGGUUUUAUAUGGUGUGAGGAAUAGGUCUCUCCCCCUUUUGUGUGUUUGUAG